rnacentral:ribozyme from 1 species
AGCGAUACUGCACUGGUAAGGUAUGGAUCCGACGCCUCUUGAAGGUCAACAAAGGCUCUCCAUACCCUACUUCG